UGCAGCCGUUAGCUCCUACUGUUCAUGCAAAUGCGAGGAGGGGUGUGCAUCUAAUUUGGAUGAUGCCCAAGGCCUGGACCAAAUGGGACCACUUUGGAACAGCUUCUGUGUUACUUCUUGAUGAAGAGGGCUACUUUUUGGAAAGCCAACAAGGCUAUCGUUCAUAUUUGUACAUGGGUAGAAGAGACUUGCCUUCUGUCUGAAUUGACUUUCUUAGCCAUCAGCAACAUCAUCAAAUCUGGUUGCCUGAAUGACAAUGUCCUUAGAAGCAACCAAAGAAAAGAACAAAGCAAUUGAUCAACUGAAUUAAUGUAACAGAAAAUUAAAGGUCCAGCAAACUUUGGGUAAAUUCUAAUAGGGUUAACAUAGAACUUGAUCAAAUGAAAGAAAAAAAAAUAAAACAUCACUUUUGUUUCUCAGA